rnacentral:rRNA from 1 species
UACGUAGGGGGCAAGCGUUGUCCGGAAUCAUUGGGCGUAAAGCGCGUGUAGGCGGCCCGGUAAGUCCGCUGUGAAAGUCGGGGGCUCAACCCUCGGAUGCCGGUGGAUACUGUCGGGCUAGAGUGCGGGAGAGGCGAGUGGAAUUCCUGGUGUAGCGGUGAAAUGCGCAGAUAUCAGGAAGAACACCUAUGGCGAAGGCAGCUCUCUGGGACGGUACUGACGCUGAGACGCGAAAGCGUGGGGAGCGAACAGG